GAUGAACGCUGGCGGCGUGCUUAACACAUGCAAGUCGAACGAUGAAAGCGGGAGCUUGCUCCUGCUGGAUUAGUGGCGAACGGGUGAGUAACACGUGAGUAACCUGCCCUUGACUCUGGGAUAAGCGUUGGAAACGACGUCUAAUACCGGAUACGACCUUCGGAGGCAUCUCCUGGGGGUGGAAAGAAUUUCGGUCAAGGAUGGACUCGCGGCCUAUCAGCUAGUUGGUGAGGUAAUGGCUCACCAAGGCGACGACGGGUAGCCGGCCUGAGAGGGUGACCGGCCACACUGGGACUGAGACACGGCCCAGACUCCUACGGGAGGCAGCAGUGGGGAAUAUUGCACAAUGGGCGCAAGCCUGAUGCAGCAACGCCGCGUGAGGGACGACGGCCUUCGGUGUAACCUACUUUAGUAGGAAGGAAGCGAAAGUGACGGUACCUGCAGAAAAAGACACCGGACGUAACUACGUAGCCAGCAG
rnacentral:rRNA from 1 species